rnacentral:rRNA from 1 species
GCAGGUCUCUGGGCUGUAACUGACGCUGAGGAGCGAAAGCAUGGGGAGCGAACAGGAUUAGAUACCCUGGUAGUCCAUGCCGUAAACGUUGGGCACUAGGUGUGGGGGACAUUCCACGUUUUCCGCGCCGUAGCUAACGCAUUAAGUGCCCCGCCUGGGGAGUACGGCCGCAAGGCUAAAACUCAAAGGAAUUGACGGGGGCCCGCACAAGCGGCGGAGCAUGCGGAUUAAUUCGAUGCAACGCGAAGAACCUUACCAAGGCUUGACAUGAACCGGUAAGACCUGGAAACAGGUCCCCCACUUGUGGCCGGUUUACAGGUGGUGCAUGGUUGUCGUCAGCUCGUGUCGUGAGAUGUUGGGUUAAGUCCCGCAACGAGCGCAACCCUCGUUCUAUGUUGCCAGCGGGUUAUGCCGGGGACUCAUAGGAGACUGCCGGGGUCAACUCGGAGGAAGGUGGGGACGACGUCAAAUCAUCAUGCCCCUUAUGUCUUGGGCUUCACGCAUGCUACAAUGGCCGGUACAAAGGGUUGCGAUACUG